rfam:Bacillus selenitireducens MLS10, complete genome.
UCUGGUGGCGACAGCGAAGAGGUCACACCCGUUCCCAUGCCGAACACGGAAGUUAAGCUCUUCAGCGCCGAUGAUAGUUGGGGGCUGUCCCCCUGUGAAAGUAGGACGUCGCCGGGC